AGGAGGAGGAGGAGGGGGAUGGAGAAGAUGUGAGAAGAGAGAUGUGUUUUAGAGAGCAAUCUGUUUGGCUGGUGUUGGGGGUUAAUGACUAUUGCCAAAGAUAAAGUGAAUUAGCAAAGCUGUUGCUCCUGCCUCUCCUCCUGAAAGCCAUUACUCUGCCUGGCCGUCUAAUUAAAUACAAUGACCUCAACACUGCUGACAACACCAGAUCCAGGCCAGCCUCUGAAAUGGAAAGCUUGAUGAAGGGAGUUUGAAAAACUUGUGAGAAGCAAGACUGUAAUAAAGCAUCUCGGAGAUGAACUGUGGCACAAGUGCGGUGCUGAAAGCAUCACCCCGGCUCAGAGCUGUCCCACUUUCAGACGUGGAAGGAGGCGGCGUGUUGGAGUAAAAAAAAAAAAAAAGCAUAUGGACGGCAUAUUCAUUAGCGCGCUGCUGAUAAAUAGAUUAAUUGGCUAGAUUAGGCAACCAAAGCUUUGAUCACAGGGACCAAGCCAAGAAUGUGUUUGUUGUUUAUUGUGAUUUUGUUGGUUCGGGGGGGAAGCGCGGUGCUGGAAAACCUUGCUGUGCAGGCGUUUACGGGAUUUACUUCCAGUUAGUGUUAAGAGGAGACCAUCAGCACGUAAACAACGGAGCAGCGAUGGUGUCUAAUGAGUGUGUGUGGGUGUGUGUACACAUGUAAAUAAAGAAAAAAAAUAAAAUAAAAUAAAGAAAAAGCAGUGCUAAUGAGGGCUGGAAAAAUUAGUGUACUGAUGUUGACUAUAAAACCAGUCAAUAUCCCUCGUCUACACAGGAUGCACUGCAUUUCACUGGAUUUCAUCAUCUGAACUGUUCCAUCUCAAUGUCACUCCAUUAGGGUGUUGUGUUGUAAAAAAAAAAAAAAAAAAAAAAAACUCGCACACUCAAGUGCUGGUGCACCUGACAGGCCAGUUUACAGUUUACACUGUAGUGCUACACUAAUGCUUUUACAUUACUACAAAAAAAGAAAAAAAAAAUAGUUUUUUGUAAAAGCCACUGUUAUGAAUGUAAUGUAAUAAUAUCUUAAUUUAUUGAGCUGCAUAAUAAUUGUGAAAAAUAGCUAUUGCACAUAAUGAAUGAAUUGCACUGAUUUGCUUUUGUUUAAUUUCAAUCAUCAUGAGCUGCCGUAAUUCUAAUUAGGACUAAUCAAUGUGGAAAACUAUGAUAAAAAAAAGACUGGUACACUUAAAAUUCACUUUAUUAAAUACUGUGCAUUGCGUUAUAAAGUCAGCAUUAUCAUGUAAUAACAAUGUUGUUACAUAUUUUAGUAUUUAAUAUAAAUAGUACAUUCAGUAGCUUCAUAACCAGUAUGAAAAAAUCUUCAUAGGUCACUCCUAACACCUUAUUACACUGAAGAACAAUGUUUAUAUCUAUGAAUACAGAUUUAAAUAUUUUAGUUUGAGGCAUACAGUACCAGUCAAUAGUUUGGACAUGCCUUAAAUUCAGUGUUUCUUUUCGCUAUUUUAAAAAGUUUUGCAUUGUAGAUUAAUACUAAAGUCAUCCAAAUUAUGAAGAAAACAUCUUGAAUUAUUUAUUAAACAAAAAAAAGUGUAAAACAAACCAGAAUAUGUUUUAGAUUUUACAUUCUUCAAAGUAACACCUCUUGCUUUGUGAUGACAGUUUCACACAUCUCUGCUGGAUUUUCUCAGACAGAUUUAUGAGGUAGAGUCACCUGGAAUUCAGGCUUUCAGUUAACAGCUGUGCUGAACUCAUCAAGAGUUAAUUACUUUAAUUUUUACCAUCCUCAGAAAGUUACUACAUGAUUCCUUAUGUGUAUGUGUUCAUAGCCUGAUAGAUCACGUCACUAUUAAUUUACUAUGUAGGAAAAAAUAAUAUUAAUAUUAAUAAGUAUAUAAUAUUUAUAAGUAUAAGGUCAUAUAGUAUAUCCUAGCCUAUUUACACUUUUGCAAACCCAUAGGAAAAGAUUACAAGCUACUACAAAUCUACUACAUCCGUGACUUCAUCUCUCCAAUCCAAUCUCAAUGCUCUUGAUUCAGCUGUCUAAACACUUUCAGAAAUAAAUAAAUAAAAACCCAAAACAUCACAAUUACGGUGCAGAUUGCCAGCGCAGCACUUAUUUUGGAGGAGAUCUCACUGUCUGGCUGUCUCUGGCUGAGUUCAUGUCCUCAGGCUGCUUCUGAAUGUGGGUUUCCUCUAAUUUCCAGCAUCUUUUAGUGAUAAUCAGAAUCAGCUUCAGCGUGUUUCAUAAUUCUGAUGACCUUUGGCUGCUGCUGGUGAGUUCUGG